rnacentral:rRNA from 1 species
AUAGUGGAAGUGGAUGCCUUUCGACGUAUCAGGAACGUAUUCAGUCCGGCCACGUAGCGAUCGUUUCGACGGCAUUCCGCAAGGUUGUCUAGGGGCGUUGUCGUUGCGGCCGGUCGGAUGCAUUUGCGUGCGGAGUGCGCCGAGUGGGUCGAUGCUGUCGCCGGAUGGGCGCGUAGAGGACUCGGGUCUUCGGGCUCGAGAAUCCUGCGCGUUCCGGAAAGCGAGUGGUGUUGGCUCGUUGGAAGUGCGGGUGAAUUCGCGGUCGGCGUCUGUUGUUGCGGCGGUCGACGGAAGGCACAUGUGUCGGUCGUCGGCUGUUGCGGCGGCCGGAGUCGACUGCCCCUGCGCUCGACUCGGUGUGUAGUCGGUCACCCAUUUGACCCGUCUUGAAACACGGACCAAGGAGUUUAAGGUGUACGCGAGUCAUUGGGUUCGCGCGAAACCCAAAGGCGCAGUGAAAGUGAGACCCUCGGGGUCGGAGAUGUGAGCGGCGAGCGUUUCGACGUUCGUCGUGCAACAUCGCCCCGAGAUUCAGACUUGCCCCGUUGCGGAGGCCGAGCGUACGUUUAGAGACCCGAGAGAUGGUGAUCUAUGCCCGAACAGGAUGAAGCCAGAGGAAU